CUCCACCGCCUCGCCUCUUCCUCCUCCUGGCCUUCCCAUCGCUCGGGCGCAGGCUUCCGUGGCCAAGCGCUUCGAGGGCGAACCCGUCUCCACCACCAGCUCUAGGUUCACGCGGGACGGGCUCCCCCGCCUGGCUGUACUCCAUGAGCUGGCCGGCGACGGCGGCGGUGCUGGAUUCGAUCUGCAGGAGAGAGAGGGAGGCGAGGAUUGGUGAAGAACUCCGUUGCCGCUGCGUGCCGUGCUUCUGGAUCGAGCGCUGCCUGACCAAGGGAUAAGAGUAUGAGGUAAAACUAGCCACCAUGCUCCUGUGCGGGCUGCAUCUCCACAUCUCCCGUUUCAUUAUUUCACCAUUGCUGCCUCUUCUCCUCUUCGUUGCUCUGCUUCUUCUCCUGAUUUCUCUUUUUCAUUUUUUCUCUUUGUGGCGCCGCCGGGGAUGAGAGGAGCAGCUGCUGAAGCAGGCGCGGUGCUGGUGCACUGCUGGCGAAGCGGUCGUCGACGGUGCCGUCGACGUCGUCCUUGGCAGAAGAAUUUCAUUCUCAGCUUCAUCGGCGUCAGCUUCAUCACCAAGAGGACGGACUCCGGAAGGUAGCCUCCUCCUAAGGCGCCAGACCGGGAUCAGCUUUGGUGGCAUCCGAUGCUGCCAGACCACUGGGUUAGAGCAGAGGAAGCUGACAUGGUGUUCGACAUUCAGAUGGUCAUUGUGAUCGACCAGAUGCGGCGCCUCAUGUCACCCCGAGCCUCCAGGGCUUGUUAGCGGUGCUCAUAAAAGGUCUCAAGAAAGAUAAAAGAACUUGUGGUUCAAGCAGCAAGAAGAUAGCCAGCCUAAAUGAAUCAAAACAAGAACAAGCGUCGGGAAUUUACAAAUGAGGAAGUGCAGCUGGUGAUGUAAUUACUUUCAAUAGCGCUUCAGCUCUGCAAUCGACAGUUUGACCUCAUGCUAGGGCAGCCUCAGCCAGUUGCCUCUUCUAUCAAAGGAUAAUGACUACCUGAUAGUGAUUCCUUAUGCUCACAUCUUUGGCCUCAUGCUGCAAGCUCUAAAGCUGCCCCCUGCAACUUACCAGCACAAAAUAUACCCAGGCGGAAAGAAUCGUGUGACAGUGACUUUCAUUUCUACUUUGGAAUUGCUAGAUGGUUCACUUGUCCCGAGUUCUAUACCAGGUGCAAUCUUAGAUAGCUAUGAAGAUGCAGAAGUCAGUGCUGCUAUGGAGGCUAUUAGAUUCAUGGAGAAUGCAUAUGGCAAAGAAAUGAGAGGCUACCACUACACCCAUGUCAAGAGGCUAGAAAAUCAAGUGACGCACCUGGUCAAAUGGUUGACUUCAUCGAAUGAGACAAUCAAGAAGCUGCGCAAAACAUGCUACUACGCUGUCAGGUACAUGAACUCAUAUUCUACCCAGAUAGAAAACACAACAGCUGCUUGCCACCUGAAAGGUCAGGACAACACCAACGGAGUUAUGAAAACAGCUCUUGCAAGCAUCGAAGGACUGAUGCAAAGGCUACGCUACAUUGCUAUAAAGUUUGAGCAGCGCCUUGAAGCAACCAGCAACAGUUUCUGGUAAACUUUGCUGAAUGUAUCCUGGAUAGCGUGCUUCAUCGGUUACCGCAACAACCACCUUUUGUUUCAUAUCUAUCAGACCAGCAUCUUUCCCAUUUUGGACUACUCCCAGCAAGAUAUGUAUAGACUUUAGUCCUCCCUUGCUGCCUCUAUGGUGAAAAGUAGUCUAUGAUGUAGUUUACGAUCUUUAGAUUUUAUUGUUGUCUGUAUAGUCAAGAGCGGUUUACCAUCGCUUAUUGUAUAUAUGUGAAGGUCUCCU